GUGGCUUAGAUACCCGAGUAGUCCACGCCGUAAACGAUGAUAACUAGCUGUCCGGGUUCAUGGAACUUGGGUGGCGCAGCUAACGCAUUAAGUUAUCCGCCUGGGGAGUACGGUCGCAAGAUUAAAACUCAAAGGAAUUGACGGGGGCCUGCACAAGCGGUGGAGCAUGUGGUUUAAUUCGAAGCAACGCGCAGAACCUUACCAGCCUUUGACAUCCUAGGACGACUUCUGGAGACAGAUUUCUUCCCUUCGGGGACCUAGUGACAGGUGCUGCAUGGCCGUCGUCAACU
rnacentral:rRNA from 1 species